CAUACAGUAUAUUUGUUAGAUUAUGCACAUGCUGGAAUUAGCCUACCUGUAAGACCAUAUCUACAAUGCAAUCUUAACAUUCUUUGGCUCAAAGUUCAAAG